GCUCCUGGGACGGGGUGGGCUCCCCGCGCCUCCCACUGCCCUACGGCUUCUCCGCCAUGCAAGGCUGGCACGUCUCUAUGGAGGAUGCUCAGAACUGUAUCCCUGAGCUGGACAGUGAGACAGCCAUGUUUUCUGUCUACAAUGGACAUGGAGAGGAGGAAGUUGCCUUGUACUGUGCCAAAUAUCUCCCUGAUAUCAUCAAAGAUCAGAAGGCUUACAAGGAAGGCAAGCUACACAAGGCUUUAGAAGAUGCCUUUUUGGCUAUAGAUGCCAAACUUACUACUGAGGAAGUCAUGAAAGAACAGACCCAAAUUGCAGGGAGACCCACAGAAGAUGAGGAUGAAAAAGAUAAAGUAGCUGAUGAAGAUGAUGUGGACAAUAAGGAGGCUGCAUUGCUGCAUGAAGAGGCUACCAUGACUGUUGAAGAACUGCUGACACGCUACAGGCAGAACUGUCACAAGGGCCCUCCCCACACCAAAACUGGAGCUGGGACAGGCGAGGAACCAGGGAUCCAAGGUCUCAAUACGGAGGCAGGACCUGAGGACCCAUCUAGGGAAAUUCCUUCACAGGAAAAUGGCCCCACAUCCAAGGCCCACACAAGCCUUUCUUCCGACUUGGAACGUGCAACAUGA